GGAAGUAAAAGUCGUAACAAGGUCUCCGUAGGUGAACCUGCGGAGGGAUCAUUACCGAGCGAGGGCCUCCGGGUCCGACCUCCAACCCCAUGUUAUUCGACCCUGUUGCCUCGGGGGCGACCCGGCCUUCGGGCGUCGGGGCCCCCGGUGGACCACUCAACUCUGCAUCAUUGCGUCCGAGUCACAUAUUGAAUCAAUCAAAACUUUCAACAACGGAUCUCUUGGUUCUGGCAUCGAUGAAGAACGCAGCGAAAUGCGAUAAGUAAUGUGAAUUGCAGAAUUCAGUGAAUCAUCGAAUCUUUGAACGCACAUUGCGCCCCUUGGUAUUCCGAGGGGCAUGCCUGUUCGAGCGUCAUUACACCACUCAAGCCUGGCUUGGUAUUGGGCGUCCGCGGUCCCACGGCCGCGCGCCCUAAUGUCUUCGGCUGAGCCGUCCGUCUCAAAGCGUUGUGGUCAUACAGUUCGCUUGCGAGGCCGGGCCGGCUUGUCGCCGUUAAACCCCCCAUUCAAAGGUUGACCUCGGAUCAGGUAGGGAUACCCGCUGAACUUAAGCAUAUCAAUAAGCGGAGGA
rnacentral:rRNA from 2 species